rnacentral:tRNA from 1 species
AGAAAAGAUAGUUAAGCUUCUAACUUAAUCAAUGGUUUUCCACUUUUCUU